GCCGAACAGCUGUCAAUUGCUUUGGUCUCCAUUCAAGCAGUUUGGUUAACCACUUUACUCUCAUUUUUUAGCUGUCACUCUAUUUGUUUCGAAAAAGCAGAUAGCAAGCGCAUGUCCCACAACCGUGGAACCUCGUUCGGUGACGGGAAAAUGUUCAGGGUGCAUUUUCAAAACCUCAAAACCGAAUUGUGAUUAACCGCUGGCAUAAAAUGAUCUAGGAGAACCUCUUAAAAAUAUUUUCUUCAAAUAAAAGGAAAUUGAUAAUAGUACCUGUCAUCAAAAGGAAGACAUUAAGAAUUCAAAAGAUUGUGAAAUUCAUAAGAUAUGGAAUAAUAUAAUUGAACAUUACAAAAUUUAACGAUUCCCAUCAAAUUAGGUAAAAUGGAAGUGAACGUAGAAUUUACGAGAGAUCGAACAGGAUUUAUGUGAAGUAAAAAAGCAAAUGAAAUUAAAUUAGAGUAAAUAUAAGAAGAAUUUAGGAAUAAUGAGAAGAAUUUAAUGGAAUUAAUGAAGAAAAAAAUUCAAGUAAACUGAAAACAUUUUAAAAAAAUAAUCGAAUUUAUUACAAUUUAAAUGAACUAGAAAAAAUGCAUGGGAAUUCACAAUAAUUUAAUAGAAUGCCCAACAAUUCAAGUUUAUAUCUUUGGCAGGGACCCUGUAGUCCCUACGUGUAUGGAAAAUGUAGCACCUCUGCGACAGGGCUUUUAACUACUUACAGAAAAUUUUUUCGCGGUGAAAUACACACCAGCUUGGAGGCCCUGCAUUGGAUUCAGACGAAGGAGAGUGAAUAGAAUCAGAUAAUAAAAAUUUUAUAAAACCCAUAUGAAUUUAACAUGAUUUCAAAAAUCUUUAGGCUGAAUUAGCAAAAUCCAAAAAAAGAUCCAUUGCAUUCAGCGGAUUUCAAGGGGAUUGAAAAGAA